rnacentral:rRNA from 1 species
UACGUAGGCAGCGAGCGUUGUUCGGAGUUACUGGGCGUAAAGAGUGCGUAGGCGGUGCUCUAAGUUUGGUGUGAAAUCUCCCGGCUCAACUGGGAGGGUGCGCCGAAAACUGGAGUGCUCGAGUAUGGGAGAGGUAAGCGGAAUUCCUGGUGUAGCGGUGAAAUGCGUAGAUAUCAGGAGGAACACCUGUGGUGUAGACAGCUUACUGGACGGUGGCUGACGCUGAGGCACGAAAGCGUGGGUAGCAAACAGG